rnacentral:rRNA from 1 species
UGCGACAGUCAUCCGGAACGGAAGGUAUGACGAAAAAUAACAUACGGGACUCUUUCGAGGCCUCGUAAUUGGAAUGAGUACACUUCAAACCCUUUAACGAGGAUCUAUUGGAGGGCAAGUCUGGUGCCAGCAGCCGCGGUAAUUCCAGCUCCAAUAGCGUAUAUUAAAGUUGUUGCAGUUAAAAAGCUCGUAGUUGGAUCUCGGGUUUGGGCGGGCGGUCCGCCUCGCGGCGGUUACUGCACGACCCGACCUA